CAUUAGCAUGAGCCUCAAGCGCCUGCCCGAUCUUUUCUUGCUCUGUGCAGUCGAGGUUCCUUCAACCCUACCAAGCAUCACGCUCAAGUUCUUGCUUGGCGGCGACAGCUCAUUAAAUCACUCUGUGCUACACUUCAGCAAGAUGAACCUUCUUGGUGACGACGCAAGCUGGCUGGUUGAAGUCACCCUCAGUUGGGAAUUUUAAAUGGGAAUGGUCAUUUGAAUGAGCUUCAACUAACUAUCUAAUCUGAUUUAUAAGUUACUUCACUUCCAUUCCAUCCGAUUGCUGUCUGCAGAGAAGUUAAAACUAUGUCCCGAAGUUUGGUCUUAUCUCUGGCUCUUCUGUGCGGGGUCGAGGGGAACAAAGUACUCUGUACAUCGAGGCAGAAUACCUGCCAUUGCUGGACAAACUGUCAGGUGUGCUUUGAGAAACAGCCAAAUCUUCAACUUUGCAAUUUCUUGCACUUCCCAGGCACAGGCCAAAUCCAUCCAUAACAGCUUCCAUUGUUACAAUGCUUGGGACAACCGAGGCCCGAAAAAUUCUCAGAUUCCUCGUAAGUACUCUGUCCAAGCAAUGUGAUUCCUUUGUACCAGAUACAGGGAAGUGGAUUCGAAUAGACUGUGGAUCAGGUUACUACUAUCGAGAUGGAGAUGAAAUUCUUUGGCAGGUAUAUGAGAACUUCAUUCGAACUGGUAGAACAAACAGCUUUCCAACAGCAGCUACCUGAGUGGAAUUGAGCAAUUGAACCCGCUCUGUGUCUUCACGGAACAGAACAAGAACCACUACAUUUUACCUGUCACGACAAGCAGGAGGUACUUCAUCAAGGAGGCUUUCCAUUACGGCAACUAUGACGGACUAUCACAGGCCCCAACUUUCGAUCUCAAGUUUGACGGGAAUAAAUGGACAACUGUUUCAACAAACUUCACCAACAUAGUCCCUUAGUAUAGGAACAGUACGACCCUAGAGUUGAUACAAGGGUCAACUUGCCAAUCUUUCUGGAGUCAUCUGAUACAAGUGCGGGAAGUCUGCCACCAAUCAUUAGUGCAAUCAAAAUCUACAAUUCAACUUCGAGUAGGCUGGUCAGCAAAACAAACGUCAAAUGAUGACAUGGAAGGGAUACGAGCAACAAUAGGUGCCUUCAAGCAGCCUCAGGGGUGGAGCGGUGACCCAUGCCUCCCGAGCAAUACGACCUGGCAGUGGCUUACUUGCAAUGAGGGUGGUCUUUGCAGGAAUUACCAGGGAAUGGUCUCUACAGUCAUCUCAGACUUCAGCAAAAUGUGAGUCCUCGAGACAAUAGAUUUGGGAAACAACCACCUUAUUGGACCCAUCCCGAGUUUUCCGGAAACUGCCUGACCUUAGGCUACUAAUCCUCUCGAAUAACAACUUCACAGGCACCUUACCGAAGAGCGUAGUUAACAACAAUCAACUAACUUUCCAUGUUGAGGGGAACAUCAUGCAUCGGGACGAAUAUAUAUUGCUUUGAAGGACAAGUUGAAGUAAUGCUUGAGACAAAUCAGAUGAUGGUGUUCCUCACAGACAGUUGACGUUUAUAAAAUGGAUCUUCAUCUCAUGACCAAUGGAAAUGAAAAGGGGGAUUGAAAUGAGGAUUCCAAUGUCGCUAGUUCUGGUUUUCUUACCUCCCAAAGCCAUAUCUCAAGAUACAUCAGAAUGGAUUCGAAUAGGCUGUGGUCUGGCAGGAACUACCGUGACAGCGAGGGGAGUUUCUGGUGGGCAGACGAGAAUUUCAUCCGGGCUGGCACAAACAAGCUGCUAUCUAACAGCAGUAACAACAACCUAAGUGUUGCAGAGCAACUGAACUCACUCCGUGUCUUCACAGAGCAGAAUAAGAACUGUUACAUUUUACCUGUGAUAAUAAACAAGAGAUACUUCAUCAAAGCCGGGUUUCAUUAUGGGAACCAUGAUGGACUCUCCCAGCCGCCAAUGUCCUAAAUGGGCAGCUGUCUCGACCUCAACUGUGGGGCCGCAGCAUGAGGAGCUGAUCUAUACGAGUCCUAGAGAAAGUAUAAGUGUCAGCUUAGCUCGGACUUGGGAUGGGCAAUGUCCAUUUAUAUCAACGUUAGAGCUGUUGCCCUUACCCGAUGGAACGUUUGCAAAUAUGAGCAGUGAUAUGGCAUGGCGCACUCUUUACCGGAACAUGUAUGGUGCGACCAAUUCGAUUCUUGGUACAAGUACAAUUGGGGAUGGCAACCAAGGAACGAGUCUGAUUUUGUUGUGCGGAGCCGGACUGCAGAUUUCACUUUCAUCAUCUCCACAAGCGUGGAUUACCCACCUGAUCCAGCAUUGCUUCAUGCAAUUAUGGGUUUAUCAGCAGAAUUUGACUUCCCGCUCUAUUCCAAGGUUCACGUGGACUCUUGCUAUACUUUGAGUGUGGAGCCAACGCCUGUACAUGAUCUGUGAUUGCUCUACUUGUACAUCUCAGACAUAUACUUCUACACAUUCAGGCCACAGGACCAAAAUUGCACCUCUUUCGGGAUCCAAUUCAUAGAUGAUCCUGCUGUGUACCUGAUCCCAAAUAAAUCUGACCUGCCACCAAUUAUUAACGUGAUCAAGGUUUAUGAUUCAGUGUAUAUCCAUGGGUAUACAGCUACAUCACAAGAUGACGUGGAUGGAUUAAAAGCAAUCAUUGAUGGAUUUGAGCAGCUGCAAGGAUGGAGCGGGGAUCCAUGUCUUCCCUUAAACUCUAGCUGGCAAUGACUGACUUGCAGCGAAUUCUAGCCGACUCCGAAUGUGACUUCAGUCUAAGUUAGCCCAAACUUGUCAACACAUAACAUUGCCUACCAGAACCAUAACCCAAGUCAUGAGAUGUUUUCCUAUAGGAACCUUUCUGGGUAUGGUCUCCAAGGUCAUCUCCCAGACUUCAGCCAAAAGCGAGCCCUCGAGACAAUAGAUCUCGGGAACAAUAAGUUAAGCGGAUCAAUCCCUCAUUUUCUUGGAAGGCUGCCGAAUUUCAAGUUACUCAUUCUCUCGAAUAAUAACUUCUCCGGCACCAUACCAAGGAGGAUAACCAAGAACAAGAAAUUGAAACUUCUGUAAGCACUAAACAAGUUCACAUCUAGAUUUUGAUAUUACCAAUAACCAAUUAGUAGUCUCUGUUCAACCUUAUGUGUGUGUCUGAGCAUCCUGCAACAUUGAUGGAAACCAUGUACAUCGAGACAGACAGCCUCUCAUUGUUGGACUCACCGUCGGGCCAACUACCGCAGGACUUCUUCUGAUUAUCGGUGUUGCUUAUUGUACCCCACUUAAGCACAAUAUCAAAUGGCCCUCGAGAAGCGCCCGUAGUUCCUCAGUUGAAAUUGCCACAAACUGAGUUUUGUUUGUUUUCCAUGGUAUACAUAAUUUGAUACACUGCCAUAUCUUUUGAACAAUGUUUCAUCAAGACAGACGGCCUCUCAUUGUUGGACUCACUG